rnacentral:rRNA from 1 species
AGCAGCCGCGGUAAUUCCAGCUCCAAUAGCGUAUAUUAAAGUUGUUGCAGUUAAAAAGCUCGUAGUUGAAUUUCGAGAUCAAAUUGUUGGUCGUGCCUCGGUACGUACUGGCAUUAUUGAUUUCUCCCUUCUGAAGAACCACGAUGUCAUUAAUUUGGUGUCGUGGGGAAUCAGGACUGUUACUUUGAAAAAAUUGAGUGUUUAAAGCAGGCUCACGCUUGAAUACAUUAGCAUGGAAUAAUGAAAUAGGACGUUUGAUUCUAUUUUGUGGUUUCUAGGAUCGACGUAAUGAUUAAUAGGGAUAGUUGGGGGCAUUAGUAUUCAAUUGUCAGAGGUGAAAUUCUUGGAUUUAUUGAAAGCUAACUACUGCGUAAAGCAUUUGCCAAGGAUGUUUUCAUUAAUCUAAGAACGAAAGUUAGGGAUCGAAGACG